UUACGUUUCAAGGCCUGCUGGUAGUAUGUUUCUAUGGUACUCAAGUGUAAGAAUACAGAAAUUUCCGAGAACUGAACCUCUCAAAAAUUGACAGAAGCCAGCUACUGGAUGGUUUUUAUGAAGAAAUAACAGGACCAAACUUUGUAGUUUCCUGACAAACUUUGAGUGCAAUGCUAUUCACAGUAAUGUUGUUAAAUACUGUACUUUGCACAAGACCUGGAAAUACUGGAAGCUAAGAUGGUAUUGGAGCUGACAAACCUCAACCAUAGAGAUCUAGUAAAGGAGUUCAUCAGCAGUUUAGAAAAAUAUGCACCUAUAAAAAUCAGAUGGCCUCAUACAAAGAGCUUCCCAUUUAGAGAGAAUGUCAUCUGAAAUUUAAUUUGUUUUGCAGAUAUGAAAAAUGCCUUGCUCUUCUUCUAUGCAACUUGAAAGAAUCUCUUUCCAGACUUCUUUUCUAAGGAAGAAACAAAAUCACAAACACAUAUAAAACAUCCAUUUAUUAUUAGUGAUAGAUCAGAUCAUUUUCAUCUGAAACUUCAUAUUUUUUCAUGGCCAGAAACCAGGACAGUUGUAUGAGUGUGUAAGAACCUUUCACAUGCUUUGUUUAUUCUUAUGUGUGCAUUUUACAUCUUUAAUUUAAAGUAUCCAAAAUUGAUGGAGGAAUAAAGACACAAAAGUUCUUGGAAUUGUUGUUAAGAUAAAUACAUCCUAAUGAAAUAUUACAGAAAAGUUUUCCUAAUAUAUAUUUUUUACCUUUCUAAUUAAUAAGUUUUUGAAUAUAGAAAACAUUAUAUCUGACAUCCAUAUCAAUUUCGGAAGAAAUCCAACGACAUGGUGGAUUCAUGGAUUUCCUGUUUAUUAAAGCACGUGUAUUUUUUUCUUUGGAAAAAUUAUAUAGAAGUUUUAUAUGAAAGUCAGUUUUGUUUGUCAUUUGUCAUCUUUGAUGUACUUCAACUGAUAUAUGUUUCUUAUGAAACAAGUUUAAAAACAUUGUUUGUAAAUUUAAAGUAGACAAACCCAAUUAAUUUUUUUUUAUUUUAAAAACAUUUAAGCUUAGUUUCAUAUAUCCAGUUUCUUAUUGGUGUUAGAAAUUCCUAUACAACAUUUCAUCUCAUAAGAGAGAAAUUUUCAAGUAUACAGUUCAGAAUUCAAAGAAAACAGAAAUUUGCAUUACUUCUGAAUUCUGAACUUUGCACUUGGGAUUGUCUUUUUUUAUAAGAUAAAAUUUUAUGCCUGAAUCUCCAACAAUCAUAAGAAGUUGAAUUUAAGAAUAGUGAUAAUAUUAAUUUGUGAGUCUCUCCUGAAAAGAAUAAAGUGUAUGAAACAAAUUUAAUCUUUGGUUUUAAUUUCUGUUUGAAAUGCAUAAUAAUAAUAACAUAUAUAUGUAGUCAGUGAGACAAGAAAAGUCUGAUGGACACUGCAUGGUAACAAUAUGACUCCCGGGUAGUUGUUUCAUGAAAAGAAGCCAUACUUCAUAAAUAAAAU